rnacentral:rRNA from 1 species
GCUUAGCCGUAAACCAAGACAUAUAAUUACAACAAUGCCCGCCUGGACACUACAAGCACUAGCUUAAAAUCCAAAGGACCUGACGGUGUCUUAGAUCCCCCUAGAGGAGCCUGUUCUAGAACCGAUUAUCCCCGUUAAACCUCACCAUUUCUUGUUAAACCAGCCUAUAUACCGCCGUCGCCAGCUUACCCUGUGAAGGUAAAAAAGUAAGCGAAAGGGGUACAACCCAAAACGUCAGGUCGAGGUGUAGCACAUGAAGUGGGAAGAAAUGGGCUACAUUUUCUAUUUCAGAAAACCACGAACGCGCAAUAUGAAACACGUGCCAGAAGGAGGAUUUAGUAGUAAAAAGGAAAUAGAGAGUCCUUUUUGAACCCGGCUCUAAGACGCGU